UGUUUUACAGAUGCGCCAUAUGCAGCGGCACUAUCUCCAUCACUGGUGAAAUGGGAAAUGACGAGUGGACGGUCAUCACUUUGUAACUCCCCGAUACAGUUUGCGGCCCAUCUCUUCUCAUCUCCAAUGGUGGUCUCCGAAGGAAUGGUUGCAGUGCAGUCUUCGUGUCCUGGGCAGGUCUGUUGCAUGUUGGCGGCUGAUGCUGGUUCAAUAUUUGCACCAAGAAGCAUACCACGCAUACCCUCUGUUGUAAGACUGGUACCCAGGUGACCGACAGCCAUGGCCACAUUUAGCUGUGCAGCUCUUCGUUCCCUUCCAGAUCUCCUCACCUCUUCGUAAAGCUUUUCUCGGUGACUGGUAUAGUGGCACUUCUUACAUCGGAUGGAAAGGAUCCAUGCCAGGCCUCGUUUUUCCUCCCCAUGCUGAUUCCAGUCCAGUGAACCGUCACAGUCUGGAAACUUAUAGCUGCCUGGUCUUCUAAGAGAAACUCCAUUCUUUGAUGACUAAUGGAAAAGCCUCAUCACCCCCCACUGCUAAAGAACCCCUUAUCUUAAUCACCAGCCAUUAAUCAGUGAUCACUGUUAUCAAAGCUCCAAGAUGCGCAUGAUGCAACUUCCUGGAUGGUGUGUAGGCUGUUUGUCAACAUGUGAAACCCACGUGUAUUUCAGGGUAGGUAUGUUUACACUCAAUUUUCUUUCUGAAAAGC